rnacentral:rRNA from 1 species
GACGAACGCUGGCGGCGUGCUUAACACAUGCAAGUCGAACGGAAAGGCCCUGCUUUUGUGGGGUGCUCGAGUGGCGAACGGGUGAGUAACACGUGAGUAACCUGCCCUUGACUUUGGGAUAACUUCAGGAAACUGGGGCUAAUAUCGGAUAGGAGCUCCUGCUGCAUGGUGGGGGUUGGAAAGUUUCGGCGGUUGGGGAUGGACUCGCGGCUUAUCAGCUUGUUGGUGGGGUAGUGGCUUACCAAGGCUUUGACGGGUAGCCGGCCUGAGAGGGUGACCGGCCACAUGGGGACUGAGAUACGGACCAGACUCCUACGGGAGGCAGCAGUGGGGAGUAUUGCGCAAUGGGCGGAAGCCUGAUGCAGCAACGCCGCGUGCGGGAUGACGGCCUUCGGGUUGUAAACCGCUUUCGCCUGUGACGAAGCGUGAGUGACGGUAAUGGGUAAAGAAGCACCGGCUAACUACGUG